AGAAAAAAAAAAUUCCCAACUUCUGGUAGCACCAAGGAGAGAAGGAAUAAGGGAAGUACAAGCUCGGGAAAAGGCUGCACACUUCUACUGGUGAAGACUAUGUCUCUUGCCCUGACAAAGCAGCAGAGGGAGCUCAGGCAGUUCAAACGUAUCCUGGAAGAAAUGGAACAGACGUCUGGCCACUGUAUCACGGUUUGCUACCACACAGCUGUUCUCCAGUUGUAUUGCGAGAUGCAGCCAGACCAACUACUCGGCUCUGUUACUAGUUUUCAAACGAUCUUCUCGGCUGGCAGGCAUCUGUACUAUGUGAAGCUGAGAAACUGCAGCAUUUACAGAUUUCAUUUGGAGUCAGGUGUGCUGUGUGCCUCUCAGACCAGAACCUUAC